AAAUUCUGACCGAAGCCGUUGGCGUGACAGCAAUUUCUCGCCUGGUGUUGCACGGACUGAUGUAUGGUGACAGAUCAUCGAGUGGUCUUUGUUGGGCAUCCUUGAAUGGAAAUCCCUAGAAGCAAGAGAACUAGGAAGACCCAGAACAUGAACCAAGUAUCCCCUAACCAAAGAGUCUGCAUUCUCAGCAGUGCGCAUCUCCCACCCUAUACGAAGGUCAAGGCUUCCUGGGCACCGGUGUUUUGUAAGAUUAUCAUGCUCCAACAUUGUGUAUCAUAUUUACAUGAAGUGGGGGGGAGACCAUCACAAAUAAU